CGCGCCCCCCGCCCGCGCACGGCUGCGGGGAGGGGGCCGUGCCCGGAGCUGCUCCCAGCCUCGCCAGGGCCUCGAGCUCCCCCGGGCCCGGGGGGCGGGUCGCUGGGGCCCGCCGGGGGAGAGGGGCUGCGGGCCCCCCCCGGCGGAGCAGGCAGGCUCACCCGUCUCCAGCAGGGGUACCCACGGGAUACCCAGAGGUCUUCCAGGGGUUACAUCAACUCACCUGGUAUUUGCUGGGUUUUACAACCUGUCCAGUGACAUGAAAAGUACCAGCCGCAGUCAGUACUAACUAAACCUCCAUGCAGACAGGGACUUGUUGGUACUGCUCUGUAGUCCAAACCCUGAAAUAUUGCAGCGGUCAUCGACUUAAAUACUGGGUCAGAGUUUGUGAAAACUAGUCCCCACACACUGUUCAGAAGAAGAUGCAGCAUUGCAAGGUGGAAUCUGUCAUUUCUGUGGGCUGCAGCUCAGCAUUGAAGAGGUCUGUGCACCACACUUCAGUUACCCAGAUGAAUUUAACCCUGUAACAUCUGUGUAAGUCUGAGAUCCAGCCAAAGCAAGAGCCUCCUGUUAAAGCUGGAGCAGGUUCCUAUUCACAGCCUGCAGCCUGUGGGGAAAAACUAUCUAUAAGAGACAGAUUCAGAAACUAGACACCUGUGUCAUGCCGGGCUAUGAAGAGACGGGAGCAGCCCUGUCCCCAUCCCCACUCUGUGCCGCUGCUGCUUUGCUUCCAGGAUUUUAAGGUUUUGAUUAACAGCAACCAUUCAGACCGCGUUCCACACUCUGCCGUGUCCUGCUGCAGUCUCACAUGCCACGGUUCCUGAGAGGGCUCUGGACUCUGCUGCUGUCUCCGCUCGGCGCAGGUGACUUUAUUGAACGCUGAGUGCAUCAUCAACGUCUAGCCAAGAAGAGCCUCUUGUGUAGCGGAGCUGGUGCGCUGACAAUGCUCAGGCUAUGGAGACAGAGGCAGGGAGGUGAGUGGGCCGAAUGGGGGAGACAAUUGUAAAUCUAGGAGAAAGCACCCACCCUAACAACACUUAGCACGCCUGUGACAGUCCAAGCGCUUGUAGAGAUUCAGAGAUUCCAAGGCCAGAAGGGACCCUUGCGAUCAUCCUGUCUGAUCUGCUGCAUAGCACGGGCCAGAGACCUGCCCCCACAAUAAUUCCUGGAGCAGAGCUGUUAGAAAAUUCUCCUGUCUUGAUUUAAACAUUGCCAGGGAUGGAGAAUCCACCGUGACCCUUCGGAAAUUGUUCCAACCGUUAAUUACUCUCACUCUUAAACAGAUGCACCUUAUUUCUGAAUUGUCUAGCUUCAACUUCCAGCCAUUGCUUGGGUUAGACCUUCCUCUGCUAGACUGAAGAGCCUAUUAUCAAAUAUUUGUUCCCUGUGUAGAUAUUUGUAGACUGUGAUCAAGUCACCCCUUAACCUUCUCUUUCUUAAGCUCAAUAGACGCAAGGAGCUCAGUCUCUUUGAUCAUUCUCGUGGCUCUUCGCUGAGUCAGAGUCCCACUUUACAGAUAGGAAAGCUGAUGCAGGGAGAGGGAACGCAGCACAACAGAAUGAGGAGUAGAAUUGCAGCCACCAGACAAGGGCUCCAGAACCUUUGUAGAAGUGGGUGGGCCACCGGUGCCAGAACCAGGGGGGCCAUGGAGUCACACCCCCACACACACUUUUUAACGUGGGCAUAGUUUGGGAGCCAGAGGGUGUCAUUGCCCCCCCAAACUGCAAGCCUCAGGCAGGUACAGAGCGGCGCCGGAGCUGAUCAGAGGAGUGAUGUUCUGGGACAGCCUUCCAAAGGGAGUAGUUGGGGUGAAAAACUUACCUUGUUUUAAGACUGAGCUUGAUAAGUUUACAGAGGGGAUGGGAUGAUGAGGUUGCCUACAAUGGCCUAUGGCCCACCUGCGACUCCUAACGGCUGGCGGUGGGACGCUGGCUGGGGAGGGCUCUGAGUUACUGCAGAGAAUUCUUUCCCAGGUGUCUGACUGGUGGGUCUCACUGACAUGCUCAGGGUCUAACUGGUCCCCAGAUUUGGGGUCAAGAAGGAAUUUCCCCCCAGCUCAGAUUGGCAGAGACCUUGGAGGUGUUUUGCCUCCUUCUCCAGUGUGUAUCAUGGGUCACUUACUGGUUUGAACUAGAAUAAAUGGUGAAUUCUCUGUAACUUGAAAUCUUUAAACCUUGGUUUGAGGACGUCUGUAAUUUAGCCAGAGGUUGGGGGUCUGUUAUUGGAAGUGGUGGGCGAGGUUCCAUGGCCUGUGGUGUGCAGGAGGUCAGACUAGAUGAUCAUGAUGGUCCUGUCUGGCCUUUAAGUUUGAGCCUCAGACCGGGCCAGUGUCUAGAUGAGUGACACUGGAAAGAAAGGAACCAUCCCAGGCUUGGCUCAAGUGAGGAAUUUUUCAGGCACCCUGUAGCCUGAGUGUCCAAGGCCAGGAGCCUCACACAAGCCAUAGAUACCCUUUACAGAGGACAGGACGAAUGUGUAGCCAACUGGCUGUGGGCAGUCAGGCCUAGUGGUGGAAGCAAGAGUUUGGCCUACUGGUUUAGAGAUGGGUCCAGGGUGGGCAAAGUCCAGGACACAAGCUGAGGGUCAUUACCAGAGGGAAAGAAGCAGAGGCCGGAGCUGGGAGUAAGCAGGAGCUGUAAGCCAUGGAUCGAAGCCAUGAGGGGAGCAAGGGCUGGAACGAGGGCAAGCGCGCGAUAGGUGCGGUACACGUUGAGCAGCUGCUGAGCUGCUGUCGGGGCUGGGCUUGUAAGCAGGGCUGCCACCCCAGCAGCCGCUCAGGGGCUGUGGCCAGGCUCUCGGUUCCCAGGCAGGGCAGCGGGGCUCACUGGCUGCCUAGCAGCACAGUUAGUCAGGGAGCUGGCCAGCAGUGGGUCCGACCUGGCCAGACGCCACACAGAAUGGCAGCAUGACAUGGGGCUGGAACUGGGGUGUUCCCAGCCUCUGGCGCAGGAUGGGCUGAGACUGGGGCCUCCAGCCCCACUCCCCACCCUGCCUAGCUGCACAGUGGGGGGCUGCUUUGCUAGUCAGGGGCAUUCUCAUCCUCUAUUAGAGGAGACCUAAAAGCAAGGCACUGCCCCCUCCCCCAAGCACUGCAAGUCACAGGGCACUUUGCACACAAGACAGGUGCUAAACCUGGUGUUCUGGCCAGCUGCCAAUGGAGAUAGGAAGGUGGAAAUGCAGCUAACGCAUCCCCCUCCCACACCAGCUCUCCAUGGGGAUAUGGAUCCUGCCCUUCCUGGCCUAUGCUGCUGUCUGGUGUUGCUGUGCUGUGUUAACCAGCUGCCUUGGUCUACUCUCCAGGUGGCUGCAUUUCAGGAACAGUGUUAGGAUAUAGAUAUUCAGGUCUGUCUGUAAAGGCCUAUACUCUAAGAAUUUAGGUGUAUUCUUAUCACCUGGCUAGUUAUAGAGGUACAAAAGAAAGAAUCAAAAUCACUGUCUGCCGGUGUAAGGGCCUUCUCUUACUGUGACAAUUUGAGGCCCUGUGCUUAGGCUAAGGCCUUUGGCUAAGCAGCAGAGGCAGCCAUAAGCUAGGAAGCGACCGGUCACCUCCUCACAUUCCAAACUAGUCACAUUGAAAUAAGGUGCUAUUGGGCUGUUAGGCACUAUCAGGACAGGAUUGUAUCCUAUCAUCUCCAGAGAAAGGGAAGUGCCUAGAAAAUGUAAAAGGAAACUUAGUUUGAUAGCAUCCUGUCUGGCAAGAACUCACUUAUCAAUAGCUGGGAUGUGAAAUCCUCACUUCUGUAUUGUUUUGUCAUUAUAGUUCCUACUUUGCUAUUGUUUGUCUGUAUAAUCUCUGUCUGGUUCUGUGAUUGUUCCUGUCUGCUGUAUAAUUAAUUUUGCUGGGUGUAAACUAAUUAAAGUGGUGGGAUAUAAUUGGUUACAUAAUCAUGUUACAAUAUGUUAGGAUUGGUUAGUUAAAUUUCAGGAAAAUGAUUGGUUAAGGUAUAGUAAAGCAGAACUCAAGUUUUACUAUAUAGUCUGCAGUCAAUCAGGAAGUGAGGGGGGUGGGUGUGUGUGGGGAAAAUGGGAACAGGGAAUGGGAGUAAGGAAGUUGGAAUCAUGUUUGGCUAAGGGCAGGAAUGGGAACAAGGACACAGGUGUAAGGCUCUGUGGUGUCAGAGCUGGGAAGGAGGAUACUAAGGAAGGAAACUGGAAUCAUGCUUGCUGGAAGUUCACCCCAAUAAACAUCGAAUUGUUUGCACCUUUGGACUUCGGGUAUUGUUGCUCUCUGUUCAUGCGAGAAGGACCAGGGAAGUAAGUGGGUGAAGGAAUAAGCCCCCUA